rnacentral:rRNA from 1 species
GAUGAACGCUGGCGGCGUGCUUAACACAUGCAAGUCGAACGAUGAAGCCCAGCUUGCUGGGUGGAUUAGUGGCGAACGGGUGAGUAACACGUGAGUAACCUGCCCUUGACUCUGGGAUAAGCGCUGGAAACGGCGUCUAAUACCGGAUACGAGCUUCCACCGCAUGGUGAGUUGCUGGAAAGAAUUUCGGUCAAGGAUGGACUCGCGGCCUAUCAGGUAGUUGGUGAGGUAACGGCUCACCAAGCCGACGACGGGUAGCCGGCCUGAGAGGGUGACCGGCCACACUGGGACUGAGAAACGGCCCAGACUCCUACGGGAGGCAGCAGUGGGGAAUAUUGCACAAUGGGCGCAAGCCUGAUGCAGCAACGCCGCGUGAGGGACGAAGGCCUUCGGGUCGUAAACCUCUUUUAGCAGGGAAGAAGCGAAAGUGACGGUACCUGCAGAAAAAGCACCGGCUAACUACGUG